ensembl:snRNA U6 U6 spliceosomal RNA
GUGCCUAUUUUCACAGCACAUACUACUAAAAUUAGAAGGACGACAAGACGAGCAUUGCCCCUCCCUGCGCAAAAUUUAUACACACAUUCAAGAAGUGCUCCAUAUUUUU